rnacentral:rRNA from 1 species
UACGUAGGGGGCAAGCGUUGUCCGGAAUCAUUGGGCGUAAAGCGCGUGUAGGCGGCUUGGUAAGUCUGCUCUGAAAGUCCAGGGCUCAACCCUGGGAUGCCGGUGGAUACUGUCGAGCUCGAGUCCGGAAGAGGCGAGUGGAAUUCCUGGUGUAGCGGUGAAAUGCGUAGAUAUCAGGAGGAACACCGAUGGCGAAGGCAGGUCUCUGGGCUGACACUGACGCUCAUGCACGAAAGCGUGGGGAGCAACAGGAU